rnacentral:rRNA from 4 species
CAACAGGGAUUGCCCUAGUAACGGCGAGUGAAGCGGCAACAGCUCAAAUUUGAAAUCUGGCUCUCGGGCCCGAGUUGUAAUUUGUAGAGGAUACUUUUGAUGCGGUGCCUUCCGAGUUCCCUGGAACGGGACGCCAUAGAGGGUGAGAGCCCCGUCUGGUUGGAUGCCAAAUCUCUGUAAAGUUCCUUCGACGAGUCGAGUAGUUUGGGAAUGCUGCUCUAAAUGGGAGGUAUAUGUCUUCUAAAGCUAAAUACCGGCCAGAGACCGAUAGCGCACAAGUAGAGUGAUCGAAAGAUGAAAAGCACUUUGAAAAGAGAGUUAAAAAGUACGUGAAAUUGUUGAAAGGGAAGCGUUUAUGACCAGACUUGGGCUUGGUUAAUCAUCUGGGGUUCUCCCCAGUGCACUUUUCCAGUCCAGGCCAGCAUCAGUUUUCCCCGGGGGAUAAAGACUUCGGGAAUGUGGCUCUCUUCGGGGAGUGUUAU